rnacentral:rRNA from 1 species
GACGAACGCUGGCGGCGUGCUUAACACAUGCAAGUCGAACGGGCCUGUCUUCUUUUUUGGGGGUGGGUUGAGUGGCGAACGGGUGAGUAUCACGUGAGUAACCUGCCCUUCGGUCCUGGAUAACCGCUUGAAAGGGCGGCUAAUACGGGGUGGUCCGGUUGGUCCGCAUGGGCUGGUCGGGAUAGAUUCACUGUUUUUGGUGUUUCGGCGGGGGAUGGGCUCGCGGCCUAUCAGCUUGUUGGUGGGGUGAUGGCCUACCAAGGCGGCGACGGGUAGCCGGCCUGAGAGGGUGGGCGGCCACACUGGGACUGAGAUACGGCCCAGACUCCUGCGGGAGGCAGCAGUGGGGGGUAUUGCACAAUGGGCGGAAGCCUGAUGCAGCGACGUCGCGUGAGGGAUGGAGGCCUUCGGGUUGUGAACCUCUGUUUCCGGUGGUGAAGGCCCUGUCCGUGUGGUGGGGUUGACGGUAGCCGGGGAUGAAGCGCCGGCUAACUACGUG